CAACCCUGACCGACCAUGUCACCAGAUUGAUCUUUUCAAGAAAGCAGGAUGGACUAUCAUUACUCCUCCAACACCAAUCAUCCCAGACGGUAUGUUUACUUUCAUACACUGUUAGACUAAAAUAAUUACUUUAGUGACCAAGGAUCUUUCUCCUAUAGAGAGCAGCCCAAAUGUUAGCAGCUUAGAGAAUGUGUUUCCUCAGUAAGGUGUGAAGUGGUGCUUGGGACUGUGAGCAUCAGAACAAGGCUGGGACUUGUGUUUGCAACUUUUUCAUCCAUAGAAAAUGAAGUAAGGAGAAGACAGAAUAAAACAACAUCACAUAAAGCAAGAUAUGACUUUUUUUUUUUUUGAGACAGUGUCUUGCUUUGUCACCCAGGCUUGAGUGCAGUUGUGCAGUCACAGCUCACUGCAGCCUCAAGACUCCUGGGCUCAAGUGAUCUUUCCACUCCAGCUUCCUAAGUAGCUGGGACUACAAAUGCAGGCCACUAUGCCCAGCAAGUUAUUUUUUUUUAUUUGUAGAGAUGAUGUCUUGCUGUGUUCCCCAGUGAGACACCAUCUCU
rnacentral:sRNA from 1 species